GGGCCCGCACAAGCGGUGGAGCAUGUGGUUUAAUUCGAUGCAACGCGAAGAACCUUACCGGGGUUUGACAUGGGAGCCUCGCCGCAAGGUGAGGUCAGCCCUAUGAAAGUAGGGUGUGUCCACACAGGUGCUGCAUGGCUGUCGUCAGCUCGUGUCGUGAGAUGUUGGGUUAAGUCCCGCAACGAGCGCAACCCUCGCCGAUAGUUACCAACGGGUCAAGCCGGGGACUCUAUCGGGACUGCCGGUGAUAAACCGGAGGAAGGUGGGGAUGAUGUCAAGUCAUCAUGGCCCUUACAUCCCGGGCUACACACGUGCUACAAUGGUCGGUACAAUGGGCUGCGAUACCGCGAGGUGGAGCAAAUCCCCAAAGCCGACCUCAGUACGGAUUGGAGUCUGCAACUCGACUCCAUGAAGCCGGAAUCGCUAGUAAUCGCGGAUCAGAAUGCCGCGGUGAAUACGUUCCCGGGCCUU
rnacentral:rRNA from 1 species